AGAGUUUGAUCCUGGCUCAGGAUGAACGCUGGCGGCGUGCCUAACACAUGCAAGUCGAACGGAAUUUACAUGAAGCCUAGCGAUUGUAAAUUUAGUGGCGGACGGGUGAGUAACGCGUGGGUAACCUGCCUUGUACUGGGGGACAACAGUUGGAAACGACUGCUAAUACCGCAUAAGCGCACAGCUUCGCAUGAAGCGGUGUGAAAAACUCCGGUGGUACAAGAUGGACCCGCGUCUGAUUAGCUGGUUGGUGAGGUAACGGCCCACCAAGGCGACGAUCAGUAGCCGGCCUGAGAGGGUGAACGGCCACAUUGGGACUGAGACACGGCCCAAACUCCUACGGGAGGCAGCAGUGGGGAAUAUUGCACAAUGGGGGAAACCCUGAUGCAGCAACGCCGCGUGAGUGAAGAAGUAUUUCGGUAUGUAAAGCUCUAUCAGCAGGGAAGAAAAUGACGGUACCUGACUAAGAAGCCCCGGCUAACUACGUGCCAGCAGCCGCGGUAAUACGUAGGGGGCAAGCGUUAUCCGGAUUUACUGGGUGUAAAGGGAGCGUAGACGGUUUUGCAAGUCUGAAGUGAAAGCCCGGGGCUUAACCCCGGGACUGCUUUGGAAACUGUAGGACUAGAGUGCAGGAGAGGUAAGUGGAAUUCCUAGUGUAGCGGUGAAAUGCGUAGAUAUUAGGAGGAACACCAGUGGCGAAGGCGGCUUACUGGACGGUAACUGACGUUGAGGCUCGAAAGCGUGGGGAGCAAACAGGAUUAGAUACCCUGGUAGUCCACGCCGUAAACG
rnacentral:rRNA from 1 species